CCAGAUAAAGCCUCAUUUUAUUGGAAUCUUAAGGUUUGCAACUAAUUCAAUUACGUUUCCAUGUUAUACGGAGAUUAAAAUUUUUGAGAAUGGCAAACCUGAAAAAGCAUUAAGAUUUCCUUGUGGUCCGAAGAUUUCUGGUGUAUUCAACGUUACUCAUGAUAGUGUAAUUUUUAUGACAUCUAAAUUCGUCAGCUCUACCAAUGGAACUUUUAAUCAAGAAAUCACAAUUUUUGAAGAUAGAACAUUCAAUGGCACAAUCUCUGUCAUUUGCGGGACCUUUUUUUCAACGUCAAUGCCAACAAUAAAGAUCAAAACUACAGAUGAUACCAAAUUAAAUAUCACUGUGUCCUCACCAACCAUAUCAAAAGAUAUCCAAACUGAAAACAAUAAAUUAAGCACUACACAACAGUGUGCGUUUACGAAUUACAUAAUAUCUGGUUUCUCUGGAGCUGCCAUCGGUGUAUCCUUUACAGUCGUUAUC